rnacentral:rRNA from 1 species
CAAGGCUUGACAUGGACCGGACCGGGCUGGAAACAGUCCUUCCCCUUUGGGGCCGGUUCACAGGUGGUGCAUGGUUGUCGUCAGCUCGUGUCGUGAGAUGUUGGGUUAAGUCCCGCAACGAGCGCAACCCUCGUUCCAUGUUGCCAGCGCGUAAUGGCGGGGACUCAUGGGAGACUGCCGGGGUCAACUCGGAGGAAGGUGGGGACGACGUCAAAUCAUCAUGCCCCUUAUGUCUUGGGCUUCACGCAUGCUACAAUGGCCGGUACAAAGGGUUGCGAUACUGUGAGGUGGAGCUAAUCCCAAAAAGCCGGUCUCAGUUCGGAUUGGGGUCUGCAACUCGACCCCAUGAAGUCGGAGUCGCUAGUAAUCGCAGAUCAGCAACGCUGCGGUGAAUA